GCAUAUAUAUGUAUAUAUGUGUGUGUGUAUAUGUAUAUGUAUAUGUAUAUAUAUAUAUACACACACAUACAUAUACGUAUGUAUGA